GGUGAACCUGCGGAAGGGUCAUUACCGAUGUGAAAGAAUCCAAGGUUAAACAUCAUUAACCAGUGUGAACUGUGAAACAACUCUUUAGGGGUCGGCACAGGCGUGUGUCGUUAAAUGGCGGAUAGGUUCCUUCCGCCAGCCCCGCCAUUGUGUUUAUGAUAUCACUUUGAACGUUUAAGACUGAGAACGUAUGUAUCAUGCAUUAAAUGUAUGAGAAAGAAGGAAAGAAAAAUGAGAGACAACUUUUGACGGUGGAUCUCUUGGCUCACGUAUCGAUGAAGAACGCAGCCAGCUGCGAUAUGUAGUGUGAAUUGCAGAAUUCAGUGAAUCAUUGAAUCUUUGAACGCAAAUGGCGCUCUUGGGUUCUCCCAGGAGCAUGUCUGUCUGAGUGUCGGAUUUUAUCGAACGCACUCGUGAGUGCGGUAUUGAGGUGUCACGGCGUGUUAGCAAGCAAGCAAGCAUUAAAUCGCCGUGUCCCUUGAAGGACAGCAGCAUUGGACUCGCAUUCUCUAUUGAAACUUGAGUGCGAAGACUAAAGAUAAUAUUUUCCUUCGCCCAAACAUGCAAUAGCAGAAACAAAAUCCAAUCAAAGCGGUGAGUGACAAUAAACAUCAAAUCUUGACCUCAGAUCAGGCAAGGCUACCCGCUGA
rnacentral:sRNA from 1 species